CCUACGGGUGGCAGCAGUGGGGAAUAUUGCACAAUGGGGGAAACCCUGAUGCAGCGACGCCGCGUGAGGGAAGAAGUACUUCGGUAUGUAAAGCUCUAUUAGCAGGGAAGUAAAUGACGGUACCUGAUUAAGAAGCCCCGGCUAACUAGGUGCCAGCAGCGGCGGUAAUACGGAGGGGGCAAGCGUUAUCCGGAUUUACUGGGUGUAAAGGGAGCGUAGACGGCAGGACAAGUCUGGAGUGAAAUGCCGGGGCUUAACCCCAGAACUGCAGUGGAUACUGUGAAGCUAGAGUGCAGGAGAGGUAGGUGGAAUUCGUAGUGUAGCGGUGAAAUGCGUAGAUAUUAGGAGGAACACCAGUGGCGAAGGCAGCUUACUAAACUGCAACUGACGUUGAUGCUCGAAAGCGUGGGUAGCAAACAGGAUUAGAUACCCGAGUAGUC
rnacentral:rRNA from 1 species